CACGUAGGGGGCAAGCGUUGUCCGGAAUCAUUGGGCGUAAAGAGCUCGUAGGCGGCUCAAUAAGUCGGGUGUGAAACCCCCAGGCUCAACCUGGGGACGCCACCCGAUACUGUUGUGGCUAGAGUCCAGUAGGGGAGUGUGGAAUUCCCGGUGUAGCGGUGAAAUGCGCAGAUAUCGGGAGGAACACCAGCGGCGAGGGCGGCACUCUGGGCUGGUACUGACGCUGAGGAGCGAAAGCGUGGGUAGCAAACAGG
rnacentral:rRNA from 1 species